rnacentral:rRNA from 1 species
UACGUAGGGUGCGAGCUUUAAUCGGAAUUACUGGGCGUAAAGUGUGCGCAGGCGGCCGAGCAAGUCGAGUGUGAAAGCCCCGAGCUUAACUUGGGAACUGCGCUCGAAACUACUUGGCUAGAGUGUGGCAGAGGGAGGUGGAAUUCCACGUGUAGCGGUGAAAUGCGUAGAGAUGUGGAGGAACACCGAUGGCGAAGGCAGCCUCCUGGGCCAACACUGACGCUCAUGCACGAAAGCGUGGGGAGCAAACAGG